AGUGAACGCUGGCGGUAGGCCUAACACAUACAAGUCGAACGGCAGCACAGAGGAGCUUGCUCCUUGGGUGGCGAGUGGCGGACGGGUGAGGAAUACAUCGGAAUCUACUCUGUCGUGGGGGAUAACGUAGGGAAACUUACGCUAAUACCGCAUACGACCUACGGGUGAAAGCAGGGGAUCUUCGGACCUUGCGCGAUUGAAUGAGCCGAUGUCGGAUUAGCUAGUUGGCGGGGUAAAGGCCCACCAAGGCGACGAUCCGUAGCUGGUCUGAGAGGAUGAUCAGCCAAACUGGAAGUGUGACACGGUCUAGACUCCUACGGGAGGGAGCAGUGGGGAAUAUUGGACAAUGGGCGCAAGCCUGAUCCAGCCAUACCGCGUGGGGGAAGAAGGCCUUGGGGUUGUAAAGCCCUUUUGUUGGGAAAGAAAUCCAUCUGGUUAAUACCCGGGUGGGAUGACGGUACCCAAAGAAUAAGCACCGGCUAACUUCGUGCCAGCAGCCGCCGUAA
rnacentral:rRNA from 1 species